rnacentral:piRNA from 2 species
CAACAUGACAGAUGCCGCUGUGUCCU